rnacentral:rRNA from 1 species
UGGAUAGGAGACAAGAAGGCAUCUUCUUGUUUUUAAAAGACCUAGCAAUAGGUAUGCUUAGGGAGGAGCUUGCGUCACAUUAGUUAGUUGGUGGGGUAAAGGCCUACCAAGACUAUGAUGUGUAGCCGGGCUGAGAGGUUGAACGGCCACAUUGGGACUGAGACACGGCCCAAACUCCUACGGGAGGCAGCAGUAGGGAAUUUUCGGCAAUGGAGGAAACUCUGACCGAGCAACACCGCGUGAACGAUGAAGUAUUUCGGUACGUAAAGUUCUUUUAUUAGGGAAGAAUAAAUGAUGGAAAAAUCAUUCUGACGGUACCUAAUGAAUAAGCCCCGGCUAACUAUGUGCCAGCAGCCGCGGUAAUACAUAGGGGGCAAGCGUUAUCCGGAAUUAUUGGGCGUAAAGGGUGCGUAGGCGGUUAAAUAAGUUUAUGGUCUAAGUGCAAUGCUCAACAUUGUGAUGCUAUAAAAACUGUUUAGCUAGAGUAAGAUAGAGGCAAGUGGAAUUCCAUGUGUAGUGGUAAAAUGCGUAAAUAUAUGGAGGAACACCAGUGGCGAAGGCGGCUUGCUGGGUCUUUACUGACGCUGAGGCACGAAAGCGUGGGGAGCAAACAGGAUUAGAUACCCUGGUAGUCCACGCCGUAAACGAUGAGUACUAAACGUUGGGUAAAACCAGUGUUGAAGUUAACACAUUAAGUACUCCGCCUGAGUAGUACGUACGCAAGUAUGAAACUUAAAGGAAUUGACGGGACUCCGCACAAGCGGUGGAUCAUGUUGUUUAAUUCGAAGGUACCCGAAAAACCUCACCAGGUCUUGACAUGCUUCUGCAAAGCUGUAGAAACACAGUGGAGGUUAUCAGUUGCACAGGUGGUGCAUGGUUGUCGUCAGCUCGUGUCGUGAGAUGUUGGGUUAAGUCCCGCAACGAGCGCAACCCUUAUUGUUAGUUACCAGCACGUAAUGGUGGGGACUUUAGCAAGACUGCCAGUGAUAAAUUGGAGGGAGGUGGGGACGACGUCAAAUCAUCAUGCCCCUUAUGACCUGGGCUACAAACGUGAUACAAUGGCUGUUACAAAGGGUAGCUGAAGCGCAAGUUUUUGGCGAAUCUCAAAAAAACAGUCUCAGUUCGGAUUGAAGUCUGCAACUCGACUUCAUGAAGUUGGAAUCGCUAGUAAUCGCGAAUCAGCAUGUCGCGGUGAAUACGUUCUCGGGGUUUGUACACACCGCCCG